ensembl:lncRNA
AGAAUCAUCGGUCAGCCUCUAGCACAAGCUUAAGUGGCGAUAUGGGGGACGUACCAGAGACUGUGAGACACUUGCAGGAUCAGCUGAGAUUUGAGAUGCACAAACAUAUACACGAUGGUAAAGCGGAUGCAAAAAUGGUGCAGGAACAAGUUGAAAGAAUCCACCAACUCAGAGGAGCUUUGAGAGAAGAGACACUCAAACACAGCACGGCUAUAGAUAAACCUGACAUUUCCUCACAGUCUCAGCUGGAGUAUAACAAAGCGCAGGAGCGGCGGAGGCGUGUGCAGGAGGAUCAUGGGAGGUUAAUUCAGGAGGAGGUGGAGAACAUGGAAAGAGAGCUGGCACAAGAGCAGCCCCUGACAGAGGGUCCCCAGAGAGAGUUACAGGUGUUGUCCAAAGAAAGGCGCAUCCUGGUGCUGCAGCUGGAGGCCUUGCGUACAGAGCUCCAACAAACUGAACAAGACCUGAUCCAACAACACAACACACACCAGGCCGAAAUGCACUGUCUGAGAGAGGAGAGUCUACAGGUGUUCAGAGUGUUUCGCGACGUGUGUGAGGAGCAGAGGAGGAUGUCAGAAGAGAGAUACCGGACUGUGCUGCUGGAGGCUGUGCAGGACGCUGUGUACCUCUCUGCCCAAAAUCAGCAACUGCAGGUGGACAACAAGGAGCUGACCAAAGCAUUGGCAGAUUUGAAGGACACUCUGGCUGCUCAAGGUGAAUCUAAAGUGAAAUAGAUAUGACAAUUAAGUUAUCACAAAUUGAACCGUUUCAACUAUUUAUUUAAAAGCUUAACACUCUCCAACAUAUCUUUGACAAAAUAAAAAUGUUAAAACCAUAACUCUUGCACACAAUAUU